CCUACGGGAGGCAGCAGUGGGGAAUAUUGCACAAUGGGGGAAACCCUGAUGCAGCAACGCCGCGUGAGUGAAGAAGUAUUUCGGUAUGUAAAGCUCUAUCAGCAGGGAAGAGAAUGACGGUACCUGACUAAGAAGCCCCGGCUAACUACGUGCCAGCAGCCGCGGUAAUACGUAGGGGGCGAGCGUUAUCCGGAUUUACUGGGUGUAAAGGGAGCGUAGACGGUUCUGCAAGUCUGAAGUGAAAGCCCGGGGCUUAACCGCGGAACGGCUUUGGAAACUGUGGAACUGGAGUGCUGGAGAGGCAAGCGGAAUUCGUAGUGUAGCGGUGAAAUGCGUAGAUAUUAGGAGGAACACCAGUGGCGAAGGCGGCUUGCUGGACAGUAACUGACGUUGAGGCUCGAAAGCGUGGGGAGCAAACAGGAUUAGAUACCCGAGUAGUC
rnacentral:rRNA from 1 species